AGCAUGGUGGUGCAUGCCUGUAAUCCCAGCUACUUGGGAGGCUGAGGCAGAAGAAUCGUUUGAACUUGGGAGGCAGAGGUUGCAGUGAGCCAAGAUUGCGCCAUUGCACUCCAGCCUGGGCAACAAGAGCGAAACUUCAUCUCCAAAAAAAAGAAAAUUCAAUUAAUUUGUUUUAUUGUUUUAUAUACAUAUAUAAAUAUAACUGAUUACACACAAAUAAGGUAGCACAAUAUAAAUGAAUAUAUAUAAAUAAGGUACCUGCCAUAUAGCAAAUGCUCAGAAGAUAUAGAAGAUGAUAAUGAUUAUUAUUAACAUCACUACCUCUGAGAAGUUGAAUUAAGGAGGUAACUUUGAUUUACCAAGUUUUAUACUUCCGUAAAUAAAUAAUUUUUCAGAAUAGGCAUGAAGUACUUUUAUAAUUAAAAGAUAUACCCUUAUUCCCAAGAGAAAUGAAAACAUAUGUCCAAAGACUUGCAUGUGAAUGUUCAUAGUAGCAUUAUUCACAAAUGCUCAUCAACUGGUGAAUGGAUAGAUAAAAUGUAUGGCAUAUCCAUACACUGGAAUAUAUUCAGCACAAAAAGGAACUGACUACUCAAGUGCUAUGGCACGGACAAACUUCAAAACCACCAUGCUACGUGAAAGCAGCAAGACACAGAUAAUACAUAUGGUAUAAUUCAAUUUAUAUGACAUGUCCAGAAAAGACAAAUCUAUAGAGACAGUAGGAUUAAGGAUUGCUGGGUUUAACAGUAAAAGGGCAGAAAGGUCCUUAUUAAGAUGAUGAAAAUGUUCUAAAACUGAUUUGUGGUAAUGGUUGCAAAACUUGGUAAAUAUACCAAACAUCGCUCAACUGUACAGAGUAAAUUAUGAUAUGUGAAACAUGUCUCAUUGUUUAAAAAAAAAAAAAAGGUUUAAAAAGAUACAUCCUUACAAAACCAUGCCUAUUUUACACUUAUAUAAUGCUCUGCCCUUGGGAGGGGCUUUAACUUGCAUUUCUCUAUUUCAUCCUCCUAACUAUCAUGUGAGGCAGACAGAGUAGGGACCAUGCUCUUUGGAGAAAAAAGAAAAAUGAUGUUCAGAUUAGGCCACAGCUACUGCUAGCAAAUAAAGCACCCAGAGCCCAGAUCGAAACACAACUAACUCAAUAGAUACAGUGGUAAAAAUGUACCAAGACUUCAAGAUUCCAGGAGUAAUAACCAAACAGUGAUCACAAGUACAGUGAUGACCAGGGGCUUUGCCUGCAAAGUAUACUCCUUUUUAAAAUUCUUUAACUUUUUGAAUAAAUGUGCACUUAAGAAAUCUGACAUAAAACAUGCUUUUUGUUCCUUACACAGUCUGGCUAAAAGUCACAUCAUUAUGGAUAUGCAUAGAUUCCCUGACACAAGAAGAAACUUCCUUUUCAGUAGCUCAAAAAAUGCUUAGCAUACAUUGGGGAUUCAAGAAAUGCUUAUUAGGCUGGAAGUGGUGGCUCACACCUAUAAUCCCAGCACUUUGGGAGGCCGAGAUGGAUCACUUAAGUCCUUGAGUUUGAGACUAGCCUAGGAAACACAGUGAGACCCAAUAUCUUUAAAAAAAAAAAAAAAGAAUGAGUGGGGUGUGGUGGUGGUGCAAGCCUGCAGUCCCAGUAACUUAGGAGGAUACGGUGGGAGUAUCACUUCAGCCAAGGAGGUUGAAGUUGCAGUGAGCUGUGACCAUACCACUGCACUGGAGCCUGGGUGACAGAGUAAGACCUUGUCUCAAAAAAAAAGAAAAAGGAAAAAAAGGAAAUGCUUCUUACUAAUAUGAAAAAUAAUAGCAAAUUUUUUAAAAGUUUAAUUUGAACAUACUGUAAAUGAAUCUAGCAUUUCAUUUUGUACAGAAAAACUGAAGAGAAAUGACAAGAGAUAAAACCUAAACCAUAAGCCACACAGAAAUGUUUUUGAGGGGGCAGGGGAGGAAGGUGGUUAAUUUUUGGCAAUCAUUGUGCUAAAAAGCCACAGGCAUUCCCAGCACCAGGCAAGCAACCAAGAAAAUAACAGCCGAGCAUGGUGGCUCGUGCCUAUAAUCUCAGCACUUUGAGAGGCCGAGGCGGGCUGAUCUCUUGAGCCCAGGAGUUUGAAACCAGCCUGGGAAACAUGGUGAAACCCCGUCUCUAACAAAAAUACAAAAAAAUUAGCCGGGCAUGGUGGCAUGCAGCUGUGGUCCCAGCUACUUCGCAGGCUGAGGUGAGAGGAUCGCUUGAGCCUGGGAGGCAGAGGUUGCACUGAGCUGAGAUCACACCACCACACUCCAGCUUGGGUGACAGAGUGAGAAGAAAACAAAAGUCUGGCAUGACCAACCAGUAUUUUCCCACGCUCUUCUCCAGUUUACACUGACUAGGGUUUACAGAACUGCAACAAGAAUUGGUUCUGUGUGUAAUAUCCCAUGUCCUUCACACUAAACUGGGUUGACAAUGUCGGUGAUCUCCCUAAGUCCCGUUUUCCAGAUGGAAAACUAGGUUCAGACCGGCAAAACAGCAAAGUUUCUUUGACAUUUUCUGUUGCUCACUGCUAAAAAGAUUAUGGCUUUUCAGCUGUUAAUUGAAACACUGUGUGUCAAAUCCUGAUGCCUAGUUGAGAUAACUUUACUUAAUCACAUUCUCUGAGGAGAAAUGUCUUAGAAAUAGCUGUUAAAUAAAAUAAAAGUUAAGCAAACUACAAAUACUGAACCACUAUAACGUAUUUGGGACUUUUGUUUUGAUACUUGAUAUAUUUUUUCAGGAUUUGGGCACCUACAGAGGAUAAAGACUAUCAGGAAAAGUCACAAGCCAUAAAGAAACAGGUUUUGGGAAUGGGGUAGAGCAACAAAAACACUGGAAAACCUUAAAAAAAAAAGAGUAGGGAUAUGAUGGCAAGGUGUCAAGACUUGAUCUUUGGACAGUUCUGAGUUUUCAAAGAGUUUGGGGGAAAGGAGGCCAUUCAGGCAAGCAAAGAGCUAGGAAGGAAAGGAGAUUCCUUUCAGAGGACUGAGAGGAUAGUGUAUGUCUCAUGAGUCCAAUUAUUAUUAUUAUUAUUUAUUUAUUUAUUUGAGACAAGGUCUUGUUCUGUCACCCAGGCUGAAGUGUAGUGACAUGAUCACAGUUCACUGCAGCCUUGACCUCGCGGGCUCAAGAUCCUCCCACCUCAGAUUCCCAACUAGCUAGGACUACAGGCAUGAGCUACCAUGCCUGGCUAAUUUUUUUUUUUUUUUUUAAGAGAUGGGGUCUCACUCUGUUUCCCAGGCUGGUCUUCUGGGCUCGUGUGAUGCUCCUACCUAGGCCUCCCAAAGUGCUGGGAUUACAGGCAUGGGCCACCACACCCAGCCUGAGUCCAAUUACUUAGAAUCAUAAUAUCCUGUCUUAAUUUCUCCUCCCUACCCCCUGAAUAUUUAGUGAGGGAAGCCUGUUUUAGCUGUUCUAGCCCUACCUCAGCUGUACUAUAUGGGGUCUUGAAGGAAAAACUACUUAUCUCUGCUUAGACCAGAAAGUUAAAGAAGAAUGGAUGUCUAACCACCCACUAACAUCUGUUUGACAGACAACAUAAGCCUCCUCCCCUUUCUCCACACUUUUUCUUCUACCUUUAUUAAGCCCUUACUUUGUGCCUGGCACCAGUGUUAACUGUUUUACAUGUAUCACCUCACCAGAGUCUUUUAAGUCUGAAUGUAAGUUUAUUAUUCCCAUUUCAGAGAUAAACUAAGGCUCAGAGGUUAAGUUGCCCAAAGUCAAACAGCUAGUAAAGGGCAGAGCUAGAAUAUGAACCCAGGAAUGUCGGAGUACUACAAGCUCUUAACUACCAUGCCAUACUGGUGGCAACAAUUAGUAAUUACCAAGACUUCAAAGGUAUGGUGACUCACAGGGGCAAGAGUUAAUGUACUCUUCUCUUUGCAAAGAUUUCCUUCCAGGCAAAUGAUGAUAAGUUCUAUCGUUCUUGAGGGCUGUGGCAGUUUCCCGGUACAUGGUGGCAGCAGUGGGAUCACAGCCGUGGGUAAGCUAGGCUAGCAAACCAAAGCAUCCUGUCCUCAGACAGAUGAGAAUGUUACCAUCUGAACUUCUUCAGGUCAAUUUUCGAAUACUAAGCUGAAUACUGAAAAGACACCUUUUCUAUUUCAUUCUCCCUCUGAAUGGGUAAUAUCCAGCCACUCCAAUUAGUUUCAUAUUAGGUAUCUUUUCUUAAAAUCUCUGUUGGCAUCAUGUCCCUGCUUAGCCUGAGAAUGUGCAGAGACAGAACGCUGGGACGGGAGUUAUCCUAGGACACACUGACUACUUUCAUAGGACCAUGAGGCUAUUUCCCAAAAGCUGAAAUCAAGAAAAUAGGUCCCCUAAAACAAUUAGUGUUUCUAAAAAACAUGAAACAGCUCUUUGAGAUAUCAAAUAUUAUUCAGUCAGACUUUGUGAUUUGAGCUUGCCAUUGGUGGAGGCUCUGCAGCUUGCGCAGUGCUCUGGGUUUUGCUCCAGAUCUGUCACAUUGCAUUAGUGCCCUUCCUCCUCACUGCCAACAAAAAUAACAGCCUUGAACAUGGCAGCACAAUCCAUUUGUCCUGCUCUAAUUACUUUUUGACAUUACUUUUUCUGUUGCUAGCUUGUUUUUUUUUUUUUUUUUCUACCAACCUCAGGGCAUCAUUAGAGUCAUCUGAAAACAAAAUCUUUAGGUUCUGCCAAUAUAUAUUUGGAUAACUUUCUAGCACAAAAUGGUUCCAAAGAGCAGUAUGAUAGUAGUUAUAAGAAAAGCCACAAGGCACUCAUAACUAUUUCCAGAAUUCCCCAGAUGUCACAGAGAGUAUAGCCAAGGACAAAAUGCCAGGGUUUGAAGUUAUAGGACCUGGGCAAGUUGUAGCUCUACCACUCACUAGCUGUGAGACCUUGGAGCAAGUCUCCGAAUCUGUCUAGUUUUAGUUUCCUCUUUUGACAAAUGGAGUCAUCUCUUUACUCUGGUAACCUCACAAGAGCUGCUGUGAAGAUCGGUUGAGAUAAUGCAUGUGAAAAUACUUUAGAAAGAGCAAUAGUGUUAUUAUUAUUGAGAUAGUGUCUCGCUUUGCCACCCAGGCUGAAGUGCAGUGGCAUGAUCACAGCUCACGGCAGCCUCAACCUCACAGGCUCAAGCGAGCCUCCUGCUCAUCCUCUCAAGUAGCUGGGACCAAAGGUAUGCGCCACCAUGUCUGGCUAAUUCUUUUUUGUAGAGGUGGGGUCUCCUUAUGCUGCCCAGGCUCAUUUUAUUAAGAGGCAUAAAAUGAUGACCAAUAUUGCAAGGCUCUCUAGGUUUUCUGUUCUUCAUUAAUUCUAGUGUGUUCUUCAUUAAUUCUAGAGUGUGAUAGUUAUUUUUAUGCCAACUUGCUUGGCUGGGCCACAGGGUGCCCAGACUGUUUGGUCAAACAAUAUUCUGGGUGUGUCUGGGGGGGGCUAUUUUUGGAUGAGAUUAACAUUUACGUCUGCAAACUCUGAGUAAAGCAGAUUGCCCUCCAUAAUGUGAGUGUGCCUCAUCAAAUUAGGUGAAGGCCUGAACAGAACAAAAAGACCAGCCUCCCUCCUACAAGAGAGAACUCUCCAGCAGCCUGCCUUUGGACUUGAACUGGAACAUUGGCUACCGUAGGUGUCUGGCCUGCAGACCUUCAGACUGCAAAUGCAGCAUGGCUUUCUUGGGUCUCCAACUGACUGAGCCAUCCUGCAGAUUCUGUGUCUUUAUUCAUUUAUUUAUUUUUUGAGACACAAUUUCACUGUCACACAGGCUGGAGUGCAGUGGUACGAUCUCAGCUUACUGCAACCUCUGCCUGCGGGCUCAAGCAAUUCUCCUGCGUCAGCCUUCCGAGCAGCUGGGACUACAGGCGCACGCCACCAUGCCCAGCUAAUUUUUGUAUUUUCCGUAGAGACAGGGUUUCACCAUGCUGGCCAGGCUGGUCUUGAACUCCUGACCUCAAGUGAUCUGCCCGCCUUGGCCUCCCAAAGUGCUGGGAUUACAGGCUUGAGCCACCACACCCAGCCAUAUCCUACAGAUUUUGGAUUUGCCAGUCUUCAUAAUCACGUGAGCCAAUUCCUUAAAAUGAAUCUCCAUCCAUCCAGCCAGCCAGCCUCAAAGCAUAUUGGUUCUGUUUCUCUGGAGAAUAAUGACUCAUACAUCUAGGAUCUAGUUUUGUUUAGAAUUCAAAUGAUCAUACUAUGCACUAAAAAUUAGGGGCAGAAAUAUCAGAGAUAAAUUAAAUCCAGAAGUGUAUCUUCCAGAGCCUCCAGCAUGACAGAUACUGACUUACAAAUUAUAUAUAUUUCCAAAAGUCACUUUUUGGCCUGCUGCCUGGAACUUAAAAGGCUAUCCCUAAUAAUACUGGAGCUUCAGGCGGGGCGUGGUGGCUCACGCCUGUAAUCCCAGCACUUUGGGAGGCCGAGGUGGGUGGAUCACGGGGUCAGGAAUUUGAGACCAGCCUGGCCAAGAUGGUGAAACCCCGUCUCUACUAAAAAUACAAAAAUUAGCCGGGCGUAGGGGCACACGCCUGUAAUCCCAGCUACUCAGGAGGCUGAGGCAGGAGAAUCGCUUGAACCCGGGAGGUGGAGUUUGCAGUGAGCCAAGAGGGCACCACUGCACUCCAGCCUGGUGGCAGAGUGAGACUCCAUCUCAAAAUAAUAAAAAUAAUGGAGCUUCAGGACAAAAGACUACUGAGAAGCUACCAUUACAGGAAUUGACUGAUACAUAUUUAUUGGAUAAGUACACAAAUGAAUGUUGUUCUAUUUAGAAAAUGCUUUUGGAAGAAUACAACAUUUCUUGAGCACUUCCAGAGUACUAUGCACUGCACUAGAUGUUUCACAUAUAUUGUUUCAUUCAACACUUAACAUCUGUAAGACAAUGUUUCCUAUUUCUUAAAAUGACAAAACUGAGCUCUGACAGAUGUUUUGGCCUAGGUCAUGUACCUAGAAUGUAGUGUAACUGAGAUCAGAACCCAGAUGAUUCCAGUGCCUUGCCUCUAACUACAGGAUAGCCAUAUUAAAUAAUCUAGCCCCGCCUUAAAAAACAAACAAACAGAAAAGUGGCAGUGAUUAACUAAGAUGUACCUUUAUUUCCAUACCAUUUUUUCCCUUCCUCCACUCACUCCUAAAUGAAGGAUGGCAAAAAACUCUAAGAAAACAAAAAGCACUGGACCACAGGAGAUUAUGGAAAUCCACAGGCUGAGGGGUUUUCAGCAGGAUGACAAAGUAAGCAACUUGAUUCUAGCAAAAGUUUGGAUGUAAAGAACAUCUUAGCAAAUGAGAGUGAGAAUUUCUUUUUUAAAAAUUUUUUAGAGUUGCUGUCCCUUUGUCACCCAGGAUGGAGCACAGUGAUGCAAUCACAGCUCACUGCAGUCUUGAAUUCCUGGACUCUGGCAAUCCUCCUGCCUCAGCCUCCUAAGUAGCUCAGACUACAGGCAUGUGCCACCACAACCUGCUAAUUUUCAAAUUUUUUUGUACAAACGGGGCCUUGUCAUCUUACCCAAGCUGGUCUCGAACUCCUGGACUCAAGCCAUCUGCCUGCCUUGGCCUCCCAAAGUGCUAGGAUUACAGGCAUAAGCCACCAUGCCUGGUCUGAGAUUUUCUUUUUUUUUUUUUUUUUUUUUUUUUUUUCAAAACAAAGCAACAGAAAGUACAGUGGUCCCAAGGAACUAUAAAUGUAGAUGGAAGAAAAUACGGUGUGUGUAGAGAGUGAAGGGGACUUUGUUUGGCCUUUGCUUUUGUUGUUGUUAUUGUUGUUGUUGUUUUUGAGACGGAGUCUCGCUCUGCCGCCAGGCUGGAAUGCAGCGGUGCAAUCUCAGCUCACUGCAACCUCCGCCUCCUGGAUUUAAGUGAUUCUCCUGCCUCAGCCUCCCGAGUAGCUGGGACUACAGGCGCACGCCACCACACCCAGGUAAUUUUUGUAUUAUUAGUAGAGACGGGGUUUAACCACGUUGGCCAGAAUGGUCUUGAACUCCUGACCUCAGGUGAUCCGCCCGCCUCGGCCUCCAAAAGUGCCGGGAUUACAGGCGUGAGCCACCGCACCUGGCCUGCCUUUGAUUUUCUAAUAAUUAUUAAUUUUUUUUGAGAUGGAGUCUUGCUCCGUCACCAGGCUGCAGUGCAGUGGCACAAUCUUGGCUCACUGCAAUCUGGGCCUCGCAGGUUCAAGCAAUUCCCCUGCUUCAGCCUCCCAAGUAGCUGGAACUUCAGGCACAUACUACCACACCCGGCUAAUUUUUUGUAUUUUAAUAGAGAUGGUGUUUCACCAUGUUGACCAGGAUGGUCUCAAUCUCCUGACCUUGUGAUCCGUCCGCCUUGGCUCCCAAAGUGCUGGGAUUACAGGCAUGAGCCACCACGUCCAGCCUAUUUUUUUUUUUUUAAAGAGAUGGAGUCUUGCUCCGUUGCCCAGGUUGGAGUACAAUGGCGUGAUCUUGGCUCACUGCAACCUCCGCCUCCCGGGUUCAAGCAAUUCUCCUGCCUCAGUCUCCUGAGUAGCUGGGACUAGAGGCACACACCACCACGCCCGGCUAAUUUUUUUGUUUUUGUCUUUGUUUUUGGAUUUUAGUAGAGACGGGGUUUCACCAUGUUUCCCAGGCUGGUCUCGAACUCCCGAGUUCAGGCAAUCUGCCCACCUCGGCCUCCCAAAGUGCUAGGAUUACAGGCGCGAGCCACCGCCCCCGGCCCUGGCCUUUGCUUUUAAUGUCAACACAUCCUCACCAUGAUGACCACCUAAGCUGCAAGUGACACGUCAAGCCAAAGACAGGCCAAAGAGGCCUCUGCCUCCUGCAAUGCCUCCCUUUUACCAUCUCAGAUGGCUUUUUAGGAUUCAUCCUUAAUUCACAUUCUUCCUGCCACAAGUGAAUGGAGUUAAAAAGGGAAACUUAUCCUGCAUUUUCUACUGGUGUGCAGAGCCUAACAAUCAAGGGCAGGAACCUACAGAACGAUAAGUAAUGAAACAAGAAUUGUUUGUUAUCAGGCCAAUUAAAUUCGAUUUUAACUCAUUAAAACAGGCCAAGUAGAAACCAGCUGUAAAGUGAGACUGUAUUUUCCUGCAACAAAGUGUGACAGCAAGUUAUUUAAAUAUAAUUAUGACACUUGUAAAAUGCUGCAAUUGAAUUAGUUUCAAAACACAUUUCUUCUUCAUCUUGAUCACUUAAUAGUAAAUCCACUUAUAAUCAUGACUUUAGAAUAACUCUGUGAGAAAGUAUCAUCACCUCCAUUUUACCAGUGAAGAAACUGAGGCUCCAGAAGAUGGGAAUCAAAUAUCCAAGUGGGCAGAGCUAGAACCUGACUCCAAGUUUUGAGUGUUUUUUCCUUUCUCGAGGCCAUUUCCCAGAGCGUGCAAGGUCUUCCCUGUUAGGCCUCUCACUUUCUUGAGGUGUCCUGAUUGUUUUACCUUCCUUUGCCUUCCUAGAAGAAUACUGUUUCUUCCUGUCAUCUUAGCACAUCGUUCUAUGUACAGUGUUGGAUAGGCACUACUGUAGCUAUAGCUUCUUAGUCAUUUCAGUUUGAAGAACAACUAUGCCUGCCAAGUUCUAAGUCACUCAUGUGGUUUUUUUAAAAUAGUCACCAGCACAAGGGAGGAACUGACUCCAGUGAUACUGAUUUUUUCCUCCAAAUUUUAGGGCAACUUUAUUUCAUUAAUUUUUCAUUAAAGUGUAAACAGUCUGUGGCCAAAAGGCAAGAAUCUUUUUGAAAUGAACAUUUUGAGAUACUAAAGUAGUAAUAAACCACGUUGCCCAAAUUUUUUCAUACAUGUUAUCAAGAGAGAAAGUAAUAAAACCUCAAAAUGACAGUUCCAGAUCAAAGCAAAUACCUACAAAUACAGAGCUAUAUGUGAAUUAUAUUUUAUCAUACAAUAUCUAGAAUUAAACUCCUAGAAAAUUAUAUUUAGAAUGGCUACACCUUUCUGAACUCCAGUUCCUCCAAAUCAGUUUUUUUUUUUUUUUUUUUUUUGAGACGGAGUUUUGCUCUUGUUGCCCAGGCUGGAGUGCAAUGGCAUGAUCUUGGCUCACUGCAACCUCUGCCUCCCAGGUUCAAGUGAUUAUCCUGUCUCAGCCUCCUGAGUAGCUAGUAGCUGAGUAGCUAGUAGCAGGCGCAUGACACCACGCCUGGCUAAUUUUUUUUUUUUUGUAUUUUUAGUAGAGACGGGGUUUCAUUAUAUUGGUCAGGCUGGUCUCCAACUCCUGACCUCAGGUGAUCCGCCUGCUUUGGCCUCCAAAGUGCUGGGAUUACAGGUGUGAGCCACUGCACCCAGCCCCAACUCGGCUUAAAACCAGUGGAGGCUGGCUAUCCUAGGGGGAAGAGCAUGGGUUCUGAAAUCCGACACACCUGGGUUCCUAUUCUUGUUCUACUAUUUUAUACUUUUGACCCCUGGGCAAGUUACUACAUUUCUUUUUUUUUUUUUUUUUUUUUUUUUGAGACAGAGUUUCGCUCUUGUUGCCCAGGCUAGAGUGCAAUGGCACGAUCUCAGCUCACCGCAACCUCUGCUUCCCGGGUUCAAGCGAUUCUCCUGCCUCAGCCUCCCGAGUGGCUGGGAUUACAGGUAUGGGCCACCACAUCCUGCUGAUUUUGUAUUUUUAGUAGAGACGGAGUUUUUCCACGUUGGUCAGGCUCGAACUCCUGACCUCAGGUGAUCCACCUGCCUUGGCCUCCCAAAGUGCUGGGAUUACAGGCGUGAGCCACUAUGCCGGGCCCUACAUUUCUUGAAGUCUCAGUUUUCUCACAUAAAAUAAGAAUACCAUCCCUUAUCUUUUACAGUUAUUGUGAGGUAUAAAGUAAAUGAAUGAAUAUUUCAGGCAAGCUCAGUUUCUGGGAUAUAAAUGAUGUUCAAUAAAUACCAAUAAGUACUCAAUAGAUGUUUGUUAUGAACAGUUUUAAAAGCCCUAUAAGGAAUAUGCGUGCUGUACCUCCCAUGACCAGCGAGAGGGAAAUGAAGAUCAGUGAUAUGACAUUAAGUAGUGAAGAUUUAUUUAUACUUCUAGAAUUUCUGCAUUUUAGCGUUUGUUUCUCCCUGAAUUACAUAGAAUAUGGCCACAACUGGAAGAUGACUUUAAGGUGAAAUAUUAAGAUACAAGGAUCAUUGGUAAUUAAAUAAAAUGAUUUUCUUUUUAAUCUAUAUACAAAAUGGUACCCAAAUUGCUACAAAGAGAAAACAUUUUCUACACAGCUUGCAUUUCUGCAGCAUAGCUUUAAAUGAAACCACUCUGUAAUCUCACAGAUUAUGUCUAAAAAUAGAAUGAUAGGCCAGCUGUCAGACAUAUACAUUGUAGGGAGAAUGGGGCCAAGAAUCUUUCCCCAAACACCACUGGAACUCUUCUGGCAUUUGCUCCCACAAAGACAAAAAACUAAAAUCUAUUCAAUUCCAGCAGCUACCUGCAUUUUUUUUUUAACUUUUAAGUUCAGGGGUACCUGUGCAGAAUGUGCUGGUUUGUUACACAGGUAAACAUGUCUCAUGGAAGUUUGUUGUACAGAUCAUUUCAUCACCCAGGUAUUAAGCCUAGUAUCCAUUAGUUAUUUUUCCUGAUCCUCUCCCUCCUCCCACCCUCUGCCCUCUGGUAAGCCCCAGUAUGUGUUGUUCCCCUCUAUGUGGCCGUGUGUUCUCAUCAUUUAGCUCCUACUUAUAAGUGAGAACAUGCGGUAUUUGGCUUUCUGUUCCUGCACUAGUUUACUAAGGAUAAUGGCCUCCAGCUCCAUGUAUGUCCCUGCAAAAGACAUGAUCUUGUAUUUUUUUCUUAUGGCUGCAUAGUAUUCCAUGAUGUAUAUGUACAUUUUCUUUACCUAGCCUAUCAUUGGUGGGCAUUUAGAUUGAUUCUGUGUCUUUGCUAUUGUGAAUAGCGCUGUAAUGAAUGUACAUGUGCAUGUGUCUUUAUAAAUAGAAUGAUUUAUAUUCCUUUGGAAAUAUGCCCAGUAAUGGGAUUUCUGGGUCGAAUGGUGUUACUGUAUCUAGGUCUUUGAGGAAUUGCCACACUCUUCCACAAUAGUUGAACUAACAUACACUCCCACCAACAGUGUAAAAGCUUUCCUUUUUCUCGACAAUCUUGCCAGCGUCUGUUAUUUUUUGACUUUUUAAUAACAGCCAUUCUGACUGGUGUGAGAUUGUAUCUCAUUGUGGUUUUGACUAACAUUUCUCUAAGGAUCAGUAAUGUUGAGCUGUUUUUCAUAUGCUUCUUGGCCACAUGUAUGUCUUUUCAGAAGGAUCUGUUCCUGUCCUUUGUCCACUUUUUAACGGGGUUGUUUUGUUUCUUGUAAAUUUGUUUAAGUUCUUACAGAUGCUGGAUAUUAGACCUUUGUCAGAUUACUGCUUUCUUUUAGAUUUAGGAGAAAGGAUUGGAAUGCCAAGAUUUGUAAGGUUCUUGUGAAAUCUCCCCAAAUCUGCAAUGUGCUGUUCCUAAAAGGCUUAUAACAAAAGUAUCAUGCAUGAUCUGAAAUUAUUGGUUCAAUACAACCCCAUUUAUAAAAAUGUUUUGCUUUUUUGUGAACUCUCCCUUCCAAGUUAUUUAACCUUUUAAAAUAAAAAGAUGCAAUGUGAUGGGGACUGUGUUCUAGUCCAGACCCUGCCAUUAAUAUGCUACAUAAACUUAGGUAAACUAUAACCCCUCUAUGGACCUCAGUUUUCCCAUCUGGAUAAUGAGAAAGUUGUGGGAGACAGCCAUGUAAGGAUGUGUUUCAGCUACAAUGCUCUAGAUUAUCUGAGCCUCAAAAUUUCCACACAAGCUGAAAAGAAAAGAAACAACCUUUUACUUCUAAGCUAUGUUUUGAGGUGCUUCAGUGCCAAUUUCUUAGGUAAUCUUUCCACCGAAUCAAGGAUGCAGUGCCCCUAAAAAGAUGAAUGGAAGACACUUCAGGCCGGGCGCAGUGGCUCACACUUGUAAUCCCAGCUCUUUGGGAGGCCAAGGCGAGCGGAUCACCAGGUCAGGAGAUCGAGACCAUCCUGGCUAACACGGUGAAACCCCG
rnacentral:lncRNA from 1 species